rnacentral:lncRNA from 1 species
UUUUUUUUUUUUUUUUUUUUUUGCCUUUUCUAGGGCUGCUCCCCUGGCACAUAGACCCCAAGCUAGGGGUCUAGGGGUCUAAUCAGAGCUGUAGCCGCCAGCCUACACCAGAGCCACAGCAACGUGGGAUCCGAGCCAUGUCUGUGACCUACACCACAGCUCACGGCAAUACCGGGUCCUUAACCCACUGAGCAAGGGCAGGGAUCGAACCCGCAACCUCAUGGUUUCUAGUCGGAUUCAUUAACCACUGCAACACGACAGGAACUCCUAGCAAUCUCAUUUCUGGGGAUUUAUCCAAAGGAGGACUUGGGUUCACAUCUGCUACAUCCCAAGUGGUAUGAAGAUCAAAGAAGAUAAAAAUGUGCAAUGCUUGGUGCCCAGAGGUAAGCUCCUCCCUCCUUUCCUUUCCUCUGCGCAAAUCCAGGACUGUGGUUUUAAGAAGUCAAGACUCUUCAGAGAAGGGAGAAGUCAUCCCAGGCUGAAAUCAUCUGUGAAAGUGUUAGAGUUCAGUUUUCCAGGGGAAACUGGCAAUGCAGAGAGCUAUGCUGGGUCUGCUGGGUCUGCUGGGGCGAAAGGCAGGGAUUUUGCCUCCUGAGGACCUCUCCGCUUGGCUGAACCUGUAAGGACAGAUGGGAAAAUGCCAACUAAACUGAGCCCCUGCAGGGUGAGUUGGUAGGCAGAGGUCCAGGAACAGGUGGGCCAAGUCUCAGGGGAGGCCAGGAGAGGCUGGGCAGGGAGAUGUGCCCAGGGAAGAACAGCUGGCCAGCGCCCGGGCUGUCCUAAGAGAGGCCAUAAGCUAAGGUGACAGUGGCCACAUUGUAACCUUCCCUGAAGCUGACCAUGUGAUGGAAAUCUUCUGACAGCAAGCAAAGGGUUAAACUGCUUACUCUCCCCAUUUUGUUGAGGAGGAAAGAGGCUAGAGGGGAUUCCUAAGCUGUCUCUCCUGGGGGAGUCUGGGUAGGGGUGUGCUUUGCUUCAAAGUCCCUCUUUUGCGACAUGGAGCCAGGUCUCGGGUGAAAGAGGAGUUAUUUACAGUUGUGCAGUGGCCGGACCUGGGCCCUGUCAAUAUUUGGGAUGGUUCAAUCAUUAACUAACCUCAGCCUUGUCCCUUGGUAGGUGCUGGGCCUGGGCUUGGCCACAGUCCUUGGGAACUGGAGCCUUGAGCCCCUCGAACUGCCUGCCCGCUGGGGGCUCUGUGGGGCUUCACCAGAGGGCAGGCGGGUGGCUGCGCCCGCCCUCCACUCAGGGAAUCUUUCCAGGGUAGGUGUCCCCACCCACAGGGCUGCAGAGCUGUCUCAGGACCAAGUAAGCAAGUGCUUAGGGUGAUAAAACAAUUGGAGAAAUGGGUUUCAGAAGAAUCUGUCAAGAGAGAAAAAAGGCAUUGAAAGUAGUCAUCAUGAGGAAGUCAAACUUUUUUUUUUUUUUGCUUUUUAGGGCCAUAUUCACAGCAUAUGGGGGUUCCCAGGCUAUGGAUCCAGUCAGAGCUGCAGCCGCUGGCCUACACCACAGCCACAGCAACACCAGAUCUGAGCCGUGUCUGCGACCUACACCACAGCUCACGGCAACACUGGAUCUUUAACCCACCGAGCGAGGCCGGGGAUCGAACAUGCAUCCUCAUGGAUACUAGUCAAAUUCGUUUCCUCUGAGCCAUGAUGGGAACUCUGGGAAAGUCAAAGUUUUGAUGAACUUUAUUGCACUUAUUUUGUGGUUUGGUAUUAUUUUCAUUUUAAAUUAUGUAUGUAGUUCUUUGGUGGCACAGCGGGUUAGGGAUCCAAUAUUUUCCCCGCAGCAGCUCGGGUUUGAUCUCUGGCCCAGAAACGUCCACAUACCAAGGGCAUGGCCAAAAAUAAAUAAAUGAAAUAAAUUAUGUAUGUGGGGAAAGAAAACACACGAUAAUCUUUCUAGUGCUCCGAUCACCUACUGUUUCAGACCCUUUAUGUGCACUGUUUGAUUAAUUCUCUAAGCCAUCCUUAGAGAUACAGGCUCUUGUUCCCUCAUUUUACUUCUAGUAGGAAACUGAGGCUUGGCAAGUCAAAGUACUUUAUUUAUUUAUUCUAUUUUAUUUUUUUUUUGCUAUUUCUUGGGCCGCUUCCACGGCAUAUGGAGAUUCCCAGGCUAGGGGUCGAAUCGGAGCCACCAGUCUACGCCAGAGCCACAGCAACACCAGAUCCGAGCCGCGUCUGCAACCUACACCACAGCUCAUGGCAACGCCGGAUCAUUAACCCACUGAGCAAGGGCAGGGAUCGAACCCGCAACCUCAUGGUUCCUAGUCGGAUUCGUUAACCACUGCGCCACGACGGGAACUCCCAAAGUACUUUCUAAAUGCACACGGUGAAUAUGGACAGAAUGGGAGAUCUGCCCCCAAGUUUGUCUGACCCCAAGCCAGGACUGUUUAGUUAUAUCCAUCCUGGAAAAGAGACAUCAGCAGGAACUGGGGAGGGUUACUGGGGGCAGGUGGGGGUGACCUCCAGGUGUUGGCAGAGACUGGUGCUGAAUGGGGCCAGCCCUGAGGAUAUGGGGUCCUGAUGGCUGACACAUCCCUGCUGUGUGGUCUCCAAGGAUGCAGUUCUGGUCUUCUUAUAAGUGAGACAUAGGAGGCAGGGACAACAUUUCGCUUGAGAUAAGGUAAGAUAAGCUGUAUGCUGGAACUAGGUGGCAGCAACUGGGCAGUAAGAAGGCCAGGUUGGCUCCAGGGAAUCUAUGUUGCCUGGGGGUCACCUCACCCUAUGGGACACAGUUCUCAGUCUGGAGGGCAAGAAAACAGCUCACACAGCAAGCUGGUGGUAGAUCUAGACCUGAAACACAGGUCCCCUGGUUUCUAGCUCAUGUUCUGCACCCACUCACCACCUUCUACAAUGAGUAUAAGGGGUGGCCAAGGGUGUGGGCGCUGAGGUCCCAUGGGACCCUCCAUCAGGCAGGAACAUGUCACACAUAUAUAUUGUUUUAAAUCAGGAUAUUCAUGUACACAGUUAAACAACCAAAUAGUAGAGUCAUUAUCUGCCAUCUGAUCUCUCCUCAUUUACUCCUUUUUUCCUCUCUGUGCUGAUUUAAGUCAUUAUUAUUAUUAUUAUUAUUCCUUCAAGUUCACUAAUUCUGUCUUCUCUUGUGUCCAAUCCCCGUGAAAUCUGUCUGAUAUUAAUUUCAGAUAUUAAAGUUUUCAGUUCUAGAAUGUCCAUGUGAUUUUCUUUGCAUAAUCCAUCGCUCUGAAAAAUUCUCCACUUUUUCACUCAUUUUUUUCUCUAUCUUAUAUUGUUAUCAUUAUUUUAAAUCAUUGUCAUCUUAUGCCAACAUCUGGAUCUUCUAUAGGGCUACAUAUAUUGGCUUUUUCUAUCUUGAUUAUUGGUUACGUUUUCCUGUUUCUUCGUCUAUCUUGUAAUUUUUACAGUAUGCUGAACACUGUUUAUAAAGUAACCAGUAACUGAAGAAUACAUAUUUCUCCUACCAGAAAAUGUUUCCGGAAUUCCCGUCACAAUUCAGCGGUUAACGAACCUGACUAGCAUCCAUGAAGACAUGGGUUUCAUUCCUGGCCUCACUCAGAGGGUUAAGGAUCCAGUGUUGCUGUGAGCUGUGGUAUAGGUCACAGAUGUGGCUCGGGGCUACAGCUCUGAUUUGACCCCUAGCCUGGGAAACUCCAUAUGCUGUGGGUAUGGCCCUAAAAGACAAAAAAAAAGAAAAGAAAAGAAAAAAGAAGGAAAAUGUGUCCCCUCUCUGGUUAAAUAAAGGUGAAGCUGGAUGGCAAUUUUAGUUAGAAUCAGCAUCCAUCUGGUUUCAAAUGCUUCCUGAGGAGGAUCUCUCAGCCUUGAACUGAAAGCCAGAUAGGUCUGUCUUGCCUUCCCCAAAGAUGCAGGAAGUUGUUCUUCUCUGGACAGUUUUAAACCCUGCUCUUGGGAGUUCCUGUUGUGGCUCAGUGGUAAAGAAUUUGACUAGUAUCCACGAGGAUUCAGGUUUGAUCCCAGGCCUUGCUCAGUGGGUUAAGUAUCCAGCAUUGCCCUGAGUUGGUGUAGAUCACAGACAUGGCUCAGAUCUGGCGUUGCUGUGGCUGUGGCAGGCAGCUACAGCUCUGAUUUGACCUCUGGCCUGGGAAAUUCCAUAUGCUGCAGGUGCAGCUCUAAAAGGCAAAUAAAUAAAUAAAUAAGAAAAAACCCUCUGUUCUUCAGUUCCUCUGCCCUGCCCUGCCCUACCAAUGCUCCUUCCAAAUUCAUCAAUUUCUCCUUGCUUUUCUAUCAGUUUUUGCCUCACAUAUUUUGACACUCUGUUUUUAGAUGUAUACAUGUUAAAUAUCAUUUUUAUAAAAAGAAUUGACACCUUUAUCAUUAUGUAAUAUAUUUUUUUAUACCUGAUAUUUUUUCUUGGUCUAAAGUCUGCUUUGUCUAAAAUUAAUAUAGCUACUCCAGCUUUCUUUUGAUUAGUGUUAGCCUGGUGUAUCUUUCUCCAACCCUUUACUUUUAAUCUAUCUGUGUCUUAAUAUUUAAAGUAGAUUUCCUCUGUUUUCUAUUCAUAGCCCUUGUUCUUCAUUUCUCUCUCUCUCUCUUUUUUGCCACACCCAUGGCAUGCAGAAGUUCCUGGGCCAGAGAUUAAACCUGCGCCACAGCAGCGAGGUGAGCUGGUACAGCGACAACACCAGAUCCUUAACCCAUUGUGCUACAAAGGAACAUCCUUUGUUUCUUUUUUCCUUCCAAUAUUUUUCUUUUUUCUCUGAUUUUAAUUGAGCAUUUUAUAUUCUCUUUUUCUCCUCUCUUAGCAUAUCAAAAAGCAAAAUUUUAGUUUCCCUUGAGUCUGCAAUAUACAUUUGCAUUCAACCUAAGUCUUCUUUCGAAUAACACAUCAGUUCAUAGUGCAAAAAACUUAUAAUAGAUUUGUUCCCAAUUUAUCUCUCCCAACUUUUAUAACAUUGUAGUCAUUUCCCUUAACCAUAAUCUGUAACCACUAUUAUUAUUUGCAACAAAAUGUUACCUGUUAGAUCAAUUAAAAAUAAGAAAAUU